GGUUUCGAAAAAAAUAAUUUUAAUCUCUGUGGAUCGAAUCAUAAAUAUUAAAACGGUGAUCGUGCGCUUGCGAUUUAAAUGUAUUAUUUCUAGCACAUCAAGUUUUUGGCGCCGCUGCCGGGGAUUAAAAUUAAUUUUUCGUUCCUUUAUUUUUAAUCUUCCGGAUUAGUUUGUUUCUCACUUUUUUAUUUUUAUUUCGAGGAAUUUGGAGGAAUAUUCGGGAAUGAUGGAGUAAAGUGAACAAAUUUUGCUCGGAUUUGGAAGCUUGCUUUGGAAAUUGUAGAUAAAUAAAGAAAGAAGAGAAAAUGCAAGAAAAAGAAGAAAAGGGAAAAGAAAAGAAGAAAAUCAAAAAGAGUUGGCAAGUAAGGGGGCACAUGGAGGGCUAUGAUCUACCCAACACACAUGGCACAUGGAUGGACAAGAUUUAGCCACCCUACCCCUAAACCCUAAAUCUUUAGCUAUAAAUCCCCCAUCUCUUUACUUGUAAUCACAAUCUAAUUUUUUAACCUAGUCUUUUCCUAGUUGGUAGGUAGUAUAGUGCUAGAUCUUCUUUUGUUCUCUCAUUUUCAUACUACAUUUGUAAACACUUUUAUUUUUAAUGCAAAUCUUUCUUUAGCUUGA